UAGAACUACUAGCACCAAACUGAACACAAACCUAACCUUCCUGAACUGGGGGGAAAGGUCACUCUGUCUAAUGAGGGGGAGGAGCAGCUAUGACAGCACCUGCCAAAUGAACCCCUCUGUGCUGAGUCACUCUGGAGGCCCAGAUGGAUUCUGUCACAACAUUGAUCCUCUUUCUACAGGCUGUCAGGCUGUCUGGUCACAGAGGAAGGCUGUGCUUCUCUGGCCUCAGCUCUGAGGUCCAACCCCUUCCACCUGAGGGAACUGGACCUGAGCUACAAUCAUCCAGGAGAAAAAGGAUUGAAGCUGCUCUCUGCUGGACUGGAGGAUUCACACUGCAGACUGGAGAAACUCAAUGUGGAUCAUGGUGGAGAGUGCAGGAUCAAACCUGGUCUUAGGAAAUAUGCCUGUGAGCUCACACUGGACCCAAACACAGCAUGCAGACGCCUCUCUCUGUCUGAGGAGAACAGAAAGGUGACAAGGAGAGAGGAGCAGCCGUAUCCUGAUCACCCAGAGAGAUUUGAGUACUGUCCACAGGUGCUGUGUAGAGAGGGUCUGUCUGGGCGCUGUUACUGGGAGGCAGAGUGGAGUGGAGGAAGGGUUGAUAUAGCAGUGACAUAUAAAGGAAUCAGCAGGAGAGGAAGGGGUGCUGACUGUGAGCUUGGAUCCAAUAACAAGUCCUGGAGUCUGGUGUGUCGUGAUAACACUUACUCUGCCUGUCACAAUAAUAAGGACACUGUCAUACCUGCCCCCCCUCCCACAGAGUAGGAGUGUAUCUGGACUGGCCGGCCGGCACUCUGUCCUUCUACACAGUCUCCUCUGACACACUGACCCACCUGCACACAUUCCACAGCACAUUCACUGAGCCCCUCUAUCCUGGGUUCUGGGUUCAUUAUGACUCCUCAGUGUCCCUGUGUCAGGUAGAAUAGCCCACACACACUCUCACACACUGUGCUCACAUAGAUGUCAUUGAAGAUUGAACUGUAUACAGUUGUAAUUGAUAUCCCAGAGUGUUUGUAAAUAUUGGUGUGUGUAGAAUGUUUGUUUUGUUUUCAUUGUUGACAAACAACAUUCCUGUCUUUGAUCUCAGUUCCACUGAAUGUGAUGAACUAAAUAGUGUCUUACUGCCUAAAUAAGGAGAAAUAAAGAUGUUUUAUACAGGA